GUAUAGAGAGCAUAUAUGAAGUUAAAGAUUGAUAGAAUGGUUAAGUAAUGAAGUAAUGGAGUAAUGAUUGAAGUUGAUGGAUACCUGGAUAUUCUAAAUCUACUAGCUAUGCUAGACUUUCAAAAUUUAUUGACUUCGUGUCGAUGGUUGUACUUUUUGAUUUUGGGAAAAAAAAAUGUUGGGUCACACUAGUAGUGAACCAAAGAAUUUUUAAAA
rnacentral:lncRNA from 1 species